rnacentral:rRNA from 1 species
GACGAACGCUGGCGGCGUGCCUAAUACAUGCAAGUCGAGCGGACAGAAGGGAGCUUGCUCCCGGAAGUUAGCGGCGGACGGGUGAGUAACACGUGGGCAACCUACCCUGCAGAUCGGGAUAACAUCGAGAAAUCGGUGCUAAUACCGGAUAAUCAUUUGAAGUGCAUGCUUCGAAUGUAAAAGAUGGCUCCGGCUAUCACUACGGGAUGGGCCCGCGGCGCAUUAGCUAGUUGGUAAGGUAAUGGCUUACCAAGGCAACGAUGCGCAGCCGACCUGAGAGGGUGAUCGGCCACACUGGGACUGAGACACGGCCCAGACUCCUACGGGAGGCAGCAGUAGGGAAUCUUCCGCAAUGGACGAAAGUCUGACGGAGCAACGCCGCGUGAGUGAUGAAGGUUUUCGGAUCGUAAAGCUCUGUUGUUAGGGAAGAACAAGUGCCGUUUGAAUAAGGCGGCACCUUGACGGUACCUAACCAGAAAGCCACGGCUAACUACGUGCCAGCAGCCGCCGUAACAC